rnacentral:lncRNA from 1 species
UUAUGUCGGUUGAUGCCUAUGCUCGCAGCACGGCCACCUUCGGAAAUUGUUUCUGCUCGGUAACUGGUGGGUGGGGCGCCGGGAAGACGCAGGGAACACACAGGCCAACGCACCAGGUGAAUACAGCGAUUAUCAGUCAAGAUGAACGAAUGGCUCAACAACAAAAUGGAGGCUCAUAGGGAUACACAAUGGCCGGACGGAAACAGCGACAGCCAUUUGUAAGACCACCGAUACUCAAGAGGCCAUGUUACCGUCAGCCAGCCUGCCAGGCGGACCGGGUGCAGUACAAGCCAGGUCAUGCCAGGUCAGCCAGAGGUUUGAACUGGUUACUAUAUGGGCAUGGUUUCGGCUCGCACUUCAAUUUUCCUGGGAUCUGGCUUUCCUGGCUAUGGAAAGUUUUGCGGGCUGUCGUGGCCCCUACAUGGUAUGAAAGUGUAGUGCCACUUAACCUAGUGUAUCCAAAAAAGUGCGUUACCGAGUGCUCGGCGAUGGUAUCGCCGCCCUUACCGGCGACCUGCCCAGUUCCGCAGAGGUAGUGGUGUGUCUGCGAACACUACAGCCAGUGGAUUGCGGUGCAAGGUUGCCGUUGCCUGCCUCCAGCAACACAUGACUGAACAAAUCACCCCCAGCAGCCCUGAGGAAGGACCGGAGCAAACCAGACGGAUCACACGAUGCACGCGACCCGUGGAUCGUUCAAGGCCCGCCCUUGCCUCUACUCGUUUCUAAAACCCUUACAAAAACCCGCUGCUUGGAUGCCGAUUGACACAGUAAUGCAGAAAAGGAAGAUUUUGGAGCCGGAACCCCGUCAGAAGGCAACCGACAUAAGCAGCUACGCGGUCCGCUGAGCAGUAAGGAACCAUCGCACGAUAGCCAGGGCACACACCGUGCCCAUGCCUUGCAUCUAUAUACAUUACGG